rnacentral:tRNA from 1 species
AAUUAAAAUAGCAAAAUGGUGAAUGCAAGAGGUCUAAGUUUUCUUAAUAAAGGUUCGAUUCCUUUUUUUAGUUA